UACGGGGGGGGCAAGCGUUGUUCGGAAUUACUGGGCGUAAAGGGUGCGUAGGCGGUCCGCUAAGUUGGAUGUGAAAACUCUGGGCUUAACCCAGAGCCUGCAUUCAAAACUGACGGGCUAGAGUUCUGGAGGGGGUAGCGGAAUUCCUGGUGUAGCGGUGAAAUGCGUAGAUAUCAGGAGGAACACCGGUGGCGAAGGCGGCCUGCUGGGCAGUUGCUGACACUGAGGCGCGACAGCGUGGGGAGCAAACAGG
rnacentral:rRNA from 1 species